UGCCAGCCGCCGCGGUAAUACGGAGGGAGCUAGCGUUGUUCGGAAUUACUGGGCGUAAAGCGUGCGUAGGCGGAUCGACAAGUUGGGGGUGAAAUCCCGGAGCUUAACUCCGGAACUGCCUUUAAAACUGGUAAGCUAGAGGAUGUGAGAGGUGAGUGGAAUUCCGAGUGUAGAGGUGAAAUUCGUAGAUAUUGGGAAGAACACCAGUGGCGAAGGCGGCUAACUGGCUCGGUACUGACGCUGAGAUGCGAAAGCGUGGGGAGCAAACAGGAUUAGAUA
rnacentral:rRNA from 1 species